CCUACGGGAGGCAGCAGUGGGGAAUAUUGCACAAUGGGGGAAACCCUGAUGCAGCGACGCCGCGUGAGCGAUGAAGUAUCUCGGUAUGUAAAGCUCUAUCAGCAGGGAAGAAAAUGACGGUACCUGACUAAGAAGCCCCGGCUAACUACGUGCCAGCAGCCGCGGGAAUACGUAGGGGGCAAGCGUUAUCCGGAUUUACUGGGUGUAAAGGGGGCGUAGACGGGGUGGCAAGCAAGUUGUGAAAGGCUGGGGCUCAACCGCAGGACUGCAUUUGGAACUGGCAUGCUAGAGUGUAGGAGAGGCAGGUGGAAUUCGUGGUGUAGCGGUGAAAUGCGUAGAUACUAGGAGGAACACCAGUGGCGAAGGCGGCCUGCUGGACGGUAACUGACGUUGAGGCUCGAAAGCGUGGGGAGCAAACAGGAUUAGAUACCCUUGUAGUC
rnacentral:rRNA from 1 species